rnacentral:tRNA from 1 species
GGCUCUGUGGCGCAAUGGAUAGCGCAUUGGACUUCUAGCUGGUGAAGCAAUUCAAAGGUUGUGGGUUCGAGUCCCACCAGAGUCG